rnacentral:lncRNA from 1 species
UUCACCCUUUCCAAAAGUUUACCUUGCAAUAGAGAAGGUGUAGAAAGGGAUUAGGGCUUCAAAUUUAUACAUCAUAUUGACUUAUUUAAUGUUAUAUAUAGUUAAAAUUUUAAACUAAUAAAAUUAUGUCUUUAUUUGGAUCUAAUUCCGAUUUAUGCACCAACAUGGACACUUUUUCUAUUAUGCAAUCAUAAUUAAUUUCAUCAAUGUUGUUCAAAUUUAUCAAGUUAAACUGCAAAAUAACAAAACAUAAAAGAGAAGUCCACCACAUCUGCCCCUUUCCUAAUGUAAAAUCAAGAAUUUUUCUUAUUAUCAUGUUUCUCACUAAAUUGGCCAUGUCAUUUUUCUAUGUCGUGUGAAUCAUAAGUCCAAAUACUACUCAAGUAUUUAACUCGAGCCAUUUAAUCAACAUACUCAAUGUGUUACCUGACACUCAAUAUUCGGCUAUAAGACUUUAGUAUGAAAUCGAGUAUAUU